rnacentral:misc_RNA from 1 species
AACGCACCUUGCGCUCCUUGGUAUUCCGAGGAGCAUGCCUGUUUGAGUGUCAUGAAAUUCUCAACUGCCUUUUAGCAUUUAUGUUAAGGUGAAGUUGGAGUUGGAGGAUAACUGCUGGCGCAACUUAGGUUGCUUGUUAGCUCCUCUUAAAUGGAUAAGCUUUUCUGAUAGAUUAUAGCUCAGUAAUAUUAAUGUGAUAAUGAUCUACAUUAUAUGUGAAAGCUAUAAGUAGAGUAACUUCAAUUUAUGGAGAAGCUCUCUAUAGAAAGGGUAUAAUAACUUGACAAAUCUGACCUCAAAUCAGGUAGGACUACCCGCUGAACUUAA